UUGGAGGGCAAGUCUGGUGCCAGCAGCCGCGGUAAUUCCAGCUCCAAUAGCGUAUAUUAAAGUUGUUGCAGUUAGAAAGCUCGUAGUUGAACUUCGGGGUUUACCCAUUGGUCAGGCUUAAUUGUCUGCACUGGUGAGAUGAAUCUCUACCUUCUGAGGAACUUUUAUGCCAUUUAUUUGGUGUGAUGGGAAAUCAGGACUGUUACUUUGAAAAAAUUAGAGUGUUUAAAGCAGGCUAACGUCUGAAUACAUUAGCAUGGAAUAAUGAAAUAGGACGGACUGAUUCUAACUCGUUGGUUUCUAGGAUCACCGUAAUGAUUAAUAGGGAUAGUUGGGGGCAUUAGUACUCAAUUGUCAGAGGUGAAAUUCUUGGAUUUAUUGAAGACUAACUACUGCGAAAGCAUUUGCCAAGGAUGUUUUCAUUAAUCAAGAACGAAAGUUUGGGGAUCGAAGACGAUCAGAUACCGUCGUAGUCUUAACCAUAAACUAUGCCGACUAGGGAUCGGACGAAGUUAAUUUUAUAAUGACGCGUUCGGCACCUUACGGGAAACCAAAGUGUUUGGGUUC
rnacentral:rRNA from 1 species